rnacentral:rRNA from 1 species
GAUGAACGCUGGCGGCGUGCCUAAUACAUGCAAGUCGAGCGAACGGACGAGAAGCUUGCUUCUCUGAUGUUAGCGGCGGACGGGUGAGUAACACGUGGAUAACCUACCUAUAAGACUGGGAUAACUUCGGGAAACCGUAGCUAAUACCGGAUAAUAUUUUGAACCGCAUGGUUCAAAAGUGAAAGACGGUCUUGCUGUCACUUAUAGAUGGAUCCGCGCUGCAUUAGCUAGUUGGUAAGGUAACGGCUUACCAAGGCAACGAUGCAUAGCCGACCUGAGAGGGUGAUCGGCCACACUGGAACUGAGACACGGUCCAGACUCCUACGGGAGGCAGCAGUAGGGAAUCUUCCGCAAUGGGCGAAAGCCUGACGGAGCAACGCCGCGUGAGUGAUGAAGGUCUUCGGAUCGUAAAACUCUGUUAUUAGGGAAGAACAUAUGUGUAAGUAACUGUGCACAUCUUGACGGUACCUAAUCAGAAAGCCACGGCUAACUACGUGCCAGCAGCCGCGGUAAUACGUAGGUGGNCAGCGUUAUCCGGAAUUAUUGGGCGUAAAGCGCGCGUAGGCGGUUUUUUAGUCUGAUGUGAAAGCCCACGGCUCAACCGUGGAGGGUCAUUGGAAACUGGAAAACUUGAGUGCAGAAGAGGAAAGUGGAAUUCCAUGUGUAGCGGUGAAAUGCGCAGAGAUAUGGAGGAACACCAGUGGCGAAGGCGACUUUCUGGUCUGUAACUGACGCUGAUGUGCGAAAGCGUGGGGAUCAAACAGGAUUAGAUACCCUGGUAGUCCACGCCGUAAACGAUGAGUGCUAAGUGUUAGGGGGUUUCCGCCCCUUAGUGCUGCAGCUAACGCAUUAAGCACUCCGCCUGGGGAGUACGACCGCAAGGUUGAAACUCAAAGGAAUUGACGGGGACCCGCACAAGCGGUGGAGCAUGUGGUUUAAUUCGAAGCAACGCGAAGAACCUUACCAAAUCUUGACAUCCUUUGACAACUCUAGAGAUAGAGCCUUCCCCUUCGGGGGACAAAGUGACAGGUGGUGCAUGGUUGUCGUCAGCUCGUGUCGUGAGAUGUUGGGUUAAGUCCCGCAACGAGCGCAACCCUUAAGCUUAGUUGCCAUCAUUAAGUUGGGCACUCUAAGUUGACUGCCGGUGACAAACCGGAGGAAGGUGGGGAUGACGUCAAAUCAUCAUGCCCCUUAUGAUUUGGGCUACACACGUGCUACAAUGGACAAUACAAAGGGCAGCGAAACCGCGAGGUCAAGCAAAUCCCAUAAAGUUGUUCUCAGUUCGGAUUGUAGUCUGCAACUCGACUACAUGAAGCUGGAAUCGCUAGUAAUCGUAGAUCAGCAUGCUACGGUGAAUACGUUCCCGGGUCU